rnacentral:rRNA from 11 species
AUUUAAACCGUACCGAAAACCGACAAAGGUGAAUGAGUAGAGUAUACUAAGAUGUGAGAGAAUAUUGUUGAAGGAACUCGGCAAAUUGACCUCGUAACUUCGGGAGAAGAGGUGACCUUUUAUUAUUAAAGAAGGUUGAAUGAAAACAGGGGGUAGCGACUGUUUAUUAAAAACACAGGACUCUGCUAAAUAGUAAUAUGAUGUAUAGGGUCUGACAUCUGCCCGGCGCUUUAAUGCUAAAAGCUACGGCAUAAUUGCUUUAGCUAUAAACUUAAGCAAACGGCAGCUGUAACUCUGACGGUUCUAAGGUAGCGAAAUUCCUUGUCG